rnacentral:rRNA from 1 species
AUUGAACGCUGGCGGCAGGCCUAACACAUGCAAGUCGAGCGGAUGAAGGGAGCUUGCUCCUGGAUUCAGCGGCGGACGGGUGAGUAAUGCCUAGGAAUCUGCCUGGUAGUGGGGGAUAACGUCCGGAAACGGGCGCUAAUACCGCAUACGUCCUGAGGGAGAAAGUGGGGGAUCUUCGGACCUCACGCUAUCAGAUGAGCCUAGGUCGGAUUAGCUAGUUGGUGGGGUAAAGGCCUACCAAGGCGACGAUCCGUAACUGGUCUGAGAGGAUGAUCAGUCACACUGGAACUGAGACACGGUCCAGACGCCUACGGGAGGCAGCAGUGGGGAAUAUUGGACAAUGGGCGAAAGCCUGAUCCAGCCAUGCCGCGUGUGUGAAGAAGGUCUUCGGAUUGUAAGGCACUUUAAGUUGGGAGGAAGGGCAGUAAGUUAAUACCUUGCUGUUUUGACGUUACCAACAGAAUAAGCACCGGCUAACUUCGUG